GUGCCAGCAGCCGCGGUAAUACGUAGGUGGCAAGCGUUGUCCGGAUUUACUGGGCGUAAAGAGCGCGCAGGCGGCCAAGUCAGUCGAAUGUGAAAGCCCCCGGCUCAACUGGGGAGGGUCAUUCGAUACUGCUCGGCUCGAAGACAGGAGAGGGAAGUGGAAUUCCCGGUGUAGUGGUGAAAUGCGUAGAUAUCGGGAGGAACACCAGUGGCGAAGGCGACUUUCUGGCCUGUUCUUGACGCUGAGGCGCGAAAGCUAGGGGAGCAAACGGGAUUAGAUACCCCGGUAGUCC
rnacentral:rRNA from 1 species